CGCCUCGUGUCAGAUCGGCAGCGGCAUUAGAUUCUCACAGGACCCCGAGCCCUAUUGUGAACUGUGCAUGUGAGGGAUUUAGGUUGCAGACUCCUUAUGGGAAUCUAAUGCGCGAUGAUCUGUCACUGUCUCACAUCACCCCAAGAUGGGACCAUCUAGUUACAGGAAAACAAGCUCAGGGCUUCCACUGAGUCUAUGUUAUGCUGACAACUGUCAAGAACUGUCCCCUGCCAUUUCACCUGAGCUGACCUGAUCUCCCCAGGGGAAUGAGCCUCGUCUUGCAAGUCCCCUUCUUUGGGUCCCUGGCAGCGCUGCUGCAGGAUACAAGGAACAGGAUGCUAUGACGAGAUAUGCAUUGAGAAGCUUCAGUCCUGCCUCCAUCCUUAUCUUCUUCUCCCUGGACCAAAAGUGAUAAUUGUCAUUUGAUCCUUAUUUAUUUUUAGAAAUAAAACUCUUAUGCAGAUACCAACACAUACAAAUCUGUAUUCUUAUACCCUCUAUUUCUUACACACAAGGUAGCAUAUUAUAUUCACUGCUUGACAUGUUACUAUAUUUAUUUGUACUUUAUUGAGCUAUAACAUAUACAGUAAAAUAUACAAAACAUAAUGCAUAGGCCAGUGAAUUUUUUCCUUUUUUUAAAUUUAUUUUUCUUGUAUGACUAUUAAAAACAGCUUUAUUGAGGUCCAAUUGAUAUAUAAUAGUAAACUGGAAUAUAUACACACCCAUGAACCAUCACCAUAAUUGAAAUAAUGAAAAUAAUCAUCACCUUCAAAAGUUUCCUCUUAGGCCAGGUGUGAUGGCUUAUGCUUGUAAUCCCAGCACUUUGAGAGUCUGAGGUGGGAGGAUCACUUGAGCCCAUGAGUUCAAGACCAGCCUGGACAACAUGGCAAAACUCCAUCUCCACAAAAAAAUACAAAAAUUAGGUGGUGUAUGUCUGUAGUCCCAGCUACUCAAGAGGCUGAGGCAGGGGGAUCUCCUGAGCCCAGGAUGUUGAGACUGCAGUGAGCCCUGAUCAUGCCCCUGCACUCCAGCCUGGGCGACAGAGUGAGAUCCUGUCUAUAAAUAAAGUUUCCUCUGGCCUCUAUAUUUUCUUAUUAGCUUGUAAAGGUGAGCAGAUUGAUGAGUUGGGUUGAAGAUAUCUAACAUUAAGCUGAUCACAACCUCAUGGUUCCUUCCUAGAGGCUCCUUUAGUUUCUUUCUUUUCUUUUCUUCUCUUCUCUUUUUUUUUUUUCCGAGACAGGGUCUCACUCUGUUGCCCAUGCUAGAGUGCAGUGGUAUGAUCAUAGCUCUCUGCAGUCUUAAAUUCCUGGUCUUAAGCAAUGCUCCUACUUCAGCCUCCCAAGUAGCUGGGACUACAGGGGUGUGCCACCAUGUCCGGCUAUUUUUUGUAGAGACAGAGUUUCACCAUGUUUCCCAGGCUGUUCUCCUAGUGUCAAGAGAUCUGCUCGCCUCAGCCUCCCAAAGUGCUGGGAUUACAGACAUGAGCCACCGUGACCAGCUGAGUCUGCUUUUGUUUCUUAAGAAUCCAGGAACUAGGUAAUAAAUGUAUGUCUUUGCUACUCCUAAGUCUUAUUAAUCACUUACAUUUCUGACAAUUAAUCAUUGGACCUCAAGGGACUUUGAUAAGAUUAAUUUGAAGUUCUCAGCAGUAGAAAGUUUAUUUUGUCAGUCUGCAAAGCUUCUGGUGUCAGAGGUUCUGGUUCAGGGCUGUUUGACUCAAAGAACCAAGGGACUCUUGGAAAAAGAAACAAGACUUACAUGGAAUUUCAGGAUCUCCAUUGUUUAUAAGCCAUAAUUCUGGGAAGAAGGAAAUGAACUCUAAUUAAGCACCUCUAUGGGUCAGAUACUUUAUAUAAAACAAAGAAUUUAAUCCUCAACAAUAACCUGCCACAGAGAUGAGAUUAUCACCAUUUUUACAGAAGAGGAAAUAGGAUCUGAGAGCCUAAGCAACUUGCCCAAGGUGACUCAGUAAGUGGCAUGAGCUGGAGUUGAAACCCAGAGCUAUAUUGCUAUAGAGCCCAUCCUUUCUAUUUCAUGGCCCUACUCUCUGUCCCCUGCCCCUAGAUAAUAUUAACAAUUGAUAGACAGAUAAGUAGAUAGAUAGAUAAAUAGAUACAGAUACACACACAUAUAUCUGUAUAUCAGGAUGUGCUAUAUAUUACAUUUUAUUUAUUUCCAAAGGCCUUAGGAAAAAAACAAUAGCAGUGUAGAACAUGAAGGCAAAUGGUUACAAAAUACAUGGAUACGUGUAUUUUACUGCUGAUAUAAAUUUAUGUCUAUUGAGUUAUUCCCAAGUUAACAAGGACCGAGAAGUUACUGUGGCCUAAGAAUUGUGCUCUGCAUGUUGGUAGAGACAAAAUAAGCAGCGUCUACUGGCAAAGACUGUAUCAUGUUGCCGGAGAAGUGAAGCAUUAAGUAGAAACUGUGUGUAGUGGCUGUGAGGGCAGCAUGGUUCUGCAAAGGGCUUGAUUGGCGGGAAGAGGAUUAGAUUCCCGCAUGUGUAGUUGGGAAUCUGAUCUGUAAAAGCCAGACACUGAGGUUUUGAUGUCUUUCUCCAGUUCACACAAAGAGCUAAUAGCUGGGCUGGGACUAUGUCUUAAGCAUCCUGGAUAGUUAACAUCUUACCAACCUCUGUCUUCCCCAAAAGCUGCAAUCUCCAUAUGCAGGAGCCAACAUCAGUUUGCUGCAAGGGAGGAGAAUGAGGACUAUUGUAUCAACUGGAGUCCCAUAGAAAACAAAUGACACACUCAAAAGGGGUGAUCAAGAGUUCCAUGGAGGGGCCGUUGACAAAGGUAGAGCCGGUUUAGAGAAAAGCAAUAAGGGAUGCGGAAGCCUCAGGAUCAGCAGCAGCAGGAAGCCACUGGCACCGAGUGCCAAGGGGUAGGGAGCGGUAGCUGAGGUGUGGUGAGCUGUAGGUACAGAAGCACUGCUAUUGCUGCAUCAGAGGUAUCAAUAUUCCAUCCUCACUCUCUCAAUGCCCUCUGAUCACACGCCUGGUGCCCUGGAAGACAGAGGUCACUGGAGCUGUGUGGUUGCAGUCGUUAGAGGUCAGCUUCCUGGCUGCAGCACAGUGCAGAAAGGAAAUGGACAGAGAGUGGUUCUGGCAGGACAGAUGGAGACUAUCCAGUGCAAAAUCCAUGCUGGGGAAAUUUAAGAGUUUUCUUGGGAGUGCAUUAAAGGAGCUAUUGCAGGUGCCUUAGAAUCUCAGAGUCUUAAAGUCACUCCCUUCCAUAAUCCAAUAGCUUGUUCUUGUUCUCAGGAAAGCUCUAUAAACCCAGGGCCUUAUUCUUAUUGUAGUCAUCAUUUCCAGCAGAGCACAGAUUCAAGAGCCAGCUGUUUAACUCAUGACCUUGCUGAAGAGGUGGUAAUGGGGCUAUUCUUAGUGAUCACAUUGUUAUGGGUUAGCAACUUGAUGUUCAAGGUAGUGGGCACCUAGAUAUCUCUGAAUGAUGGUGUUUGUUGGUUUGAAAGAGGUCUCCCUCAUUAAUUCAUUAUCUUGCUGGAGAGGCAGUUGCAUUUUGGCUUCAGCCUUUAAAUGAUAGUGGCUCUAUUUCCGACUUGCUUGGAAACUAUUAUUAACUAUUAUUCCCAACAAUACACUUGCAUAUUUGACAAUCUAGAAACCAAAUUUAGCCAUGCAAAUUAUAGACAACUGCUCUCUUAUAAUGUCACUGUGAUGUCCCAGUUUUUAAGAAAUGGAAGAUUAACAAAGCCAGCUUCAAAUGCUUAAAACAAUAUUUUAUGUAAGAAGCCAUUUUCCCCCAGAGAUGCAUAGACCUGUAAAAUGUUUCCAGAGCUCUUUGGAAGAUAACCAAUAUUUCUCUCAAAGGAAGGGGAAGUAGCAGAACAUCAAAUAUACGCAAAAACCCUUCAAAGCUGGAAGUGCCAUCAGCUUACUAAGGAAUUAUGUUAAAAAUAAGGGAAACUUAAGAGGUCACUUAAAUGAUUUAAACACCAUAUUUUCCCUCUUCUCCAAAAAUCCCCCAAGACAAUGCUCAUAAUGUUAGACUGACCUUUUAGCAUAUGUGAUUUUAGUGAAAGACAUUUCUCUUCUUCUAAAUAUAUCUCAAACCAUUCUUAAAAGUAAUGAUUUCUCAUUAAGGCUCUUGCACCUGCUUGUGAAGAAAAGACAUCUGACCUUUAAAAAAUAUUCCAUGGGUCUGAAUCAUCUAAGUAUAUUGUAGCUUUAUUCUUGCAGACAAGGGAAACCAAGAAUGAUCUGGAUAAUGGAGAAACCUGUUAAUACAACUGGAUUUGAAUCACACUACUGGCUGAAAUUCACACAACCGGAUUGGGAUCCCACUGUGUAAUUUUAGGAUGCUCAAGCAUCAUGGCAUCAUUUCCAGUGGAGUCGCUGAACUUGUAGGUUGUCUACCUGACACCUCGAGGUCCUUACACCAAGAAGUCAGCUGUGAAGCCCGCUGAGUCCUCGGGUGGAUGUCUGCCACCACAUACAUAGCCUUUGCUGGUGGCUUGGAGAGCUGGCAGGUCAGCCACAGAAAGUGGGCAAGACCUAGUCAGUAGCGACAGGAUAUGUUCCCAGGAUGGACAGCUGCCUGAUAUGCGUUCAGUUCCAGUGCCAAAGCCAAGGGCUGCCAGUGCCCUUCCUUCAUGCUAAGGACUUCUCUCUCUCCAGGACAGCGGAUGCCUGUUUGGAAGGCUGGAUUGGACUGAGCCACAUGGCAGAGCCUUGGAGAUGGCAGGGGAGGGAAGUCGAAGACAUGGAGUGGUUUGACAUUUGUGCAUAGUAUGAAGAAAGAUCAUCAAGGCUGAAAUGUGUCUGCUAAGAGGCUUCAGCUCAUGUUUGCUAAUCUCCUGUAUGGUGAAACACUGGCACCCAGACAAACCCUCAUUCACAUCAGAACAAAGCGCUAGUUAUGUGUGUUGAAAUUCCUUAAAGAAAAUGUCUUGCAGGCUGCUGGGGAGUGCGUGAAUGCUGGAAAUGCUUCACCAAGAGUUACUCAAUGUCCUGGGAAGACGGUCUGCUGGCAUCUGAGGGCUCACCCUAGAGAAGAGUGGUUGUACUCCAGGGCACAUGGGUCUGGUGAGGACAGAGAAGCAUGGGUGGAUGGGUGGGUGGAGAUGAGGGUGGAUGUUUUCUCUGUAAUCGUCUCCGGCCAGGCUGGAGCCCGAACCAGACUACCCACUUUAUUAGUCCAUUGAGAAUAUCUAAAGUCAGGCUUCUCAGCACAGCUGCCAUUUCCCCUGCUUGGGACCAGAUUUUCCUGUUUUCUGAGGGCUUCCAAGUAAGUUGGAAGUUCCUUGGGUUUCCACAACUUUGACUUAAUGAAGAAACAAGGUCAAGAAUCAGAGGAAAGGUUUUUGGAUGGGCCUCAGAGGUCUGAAAUGGUUAGGUGGGAGUCUAAAGGUAUAGGAGAGAAACUAAAUCAGUUGUAGCCCCAGCUGUUUGGAGAUGAUGCCAGCAGAUGGGAUUGAGUAAGCGACCACAGGUUGCAGAGGGUGGCAGAUGGGAGGCGGAUGUGGAAAUGGGGUCCCAGUCAGAAAUGAACACCACUAGAGGAGCAGGAAGAAGGGCCAAGCAAGAGCAGUGGUUCUCAUUGUGGUUUCUGGACUAGCGGCGGCAGCAGCACCCACGAUGUAGAUGUCAACUCUUAACUCCACUCGGAAACCCACUGAAUCAGAAACUCAGGUGGUGAAGCCCAACCAGCGGUACUUGAAUAAGUCCUCCAGUGAGUCUGAUGGACACUAAAGUUUAAGAACCACUGAGUCAGGGAACCCCAAGGGAGGCAAUUGCUAAGGAACUGCAAGAGAGGAAUUAGGGGCUGGGCCAGGGGCCAGGCGCGGUGGCUCACACCUGUAAUCCCAGCACUUUGAGAGGCUGAGGCAGGAGAAUGGCUUGAGCCCAGGAGUUCAAGACUAGCCUGGGCAACAUAGUGAAACCCUGACUCUACAAAGAACACAAAAUUGGCCAGGCAUGGUGGUAGCCACCUGCAGUCCUAACUACUCGGGAGGAUCACUUGAGCCUGGGAGAUGGAGGUUGCAGUGAGCUGAGAUCACACCUCUGGGCUACAGCCUGGGUGAUAGAGCAAGACCCCAUCUCAAAAAAAAAAAAAAAAAAGACGGCAGGAUUAGGGAAACUUCUAGAAUGAGGAGGAGAUGGCCCUGAAAGCACAGGGGGACAAGGAGAGUGAACUGAAAAGUAGAAAGAAGUUCUUCUCCAUAAGAAAAAAAGGUGAUGAGAGCUACAAUAAAAAACUACUAGUCACAACGGCUGCAGCUCAAGGUAGCCUGGAUUCUUGAUAAGCACACACCCGCCACUGGUGUCACGCUGAAGCUGGAAGGACCGCCUCUGCUAACAACAGUGAAGAACAAAUGUGGAUGCAAAUGGCUCUUAGAAGUCAGACAAAGGGAAGUUGCAUUGCUGAGAUUCACCUGCAGGUCCCAGCAUGGCUCAUUUGUUCUCUGGAGUAGUGGGUUGAAUGGUAGCCCCCCGCCCCCAUAGAUAUCCUAACCCCUAGAAUCUGUGAACGUGAUCUUAUUGUGGCAGCAGGCCUGUAAUCCAAGCUACUCUGGAAGCUGAAGGGGGAGGAUUUCUUGAGGCCAGAGGUUCGAGACCGGCCUAGGCAACAUAGCAAGAGACCCCUUCCAUCUCCAAAAAAUGAAGGAUAUCCAGAUGAGAUCAUCCUGGAUUAUCUGAGUGGGUCUUAAAUCCAAUGACAUCCAAAUUUAUAAGAGAUGAAAGAGGAGGAAAAGAGAGAUAUGCAGAGGAGAAGGUGAUGGGAAGAUGGAGGCAGGAAUUGGAGUGACACAUCCAUAAACAUGUAGACAUAAAGGGAAUGCCUGUAGUCACCAGCAGUGGGAAGAGGUAAGGCGGGAUUGUCCCGCAGAGCCUUCAGAGGAGGCAUGGCCCUGCUAACACCUUGAUUUUUGGACUUCUGACCUCCAGAAAUGAAAGAAAAUAAAUUACUAUUGCUUUAAGCCACCAAAUUUGUGGUGAUUUAUUAUAGCAGCUCUAGGAAAUUAAUAUACCUGGCUUAAGGGAAGAGGCAUGGGAUUUGAAGACAGACAGACUGGUGUCUUGAACUUUUUGAAUGUUACUCCCUAGGGUGGGAUGUGAACUCUGAGUCACAGCAGUCCCCACGUGGCUUGAGUCCCUCAUUACUUUAGCUAUCUGCCUCCUAUGAGCAUCUUAGCUUUGUAUCCUCUGGGUAACUUCACCUCUCCAGUCUUCUCCACCUUUGACAUCUUAUUAUUCCAGCAAGGGGGGUGGGGAAGGUGGAUUACCUCAAAUCUUUGGAGCAAUGUUUGGGGAUGAUGUAGUCUACCAUCCUUUGAAUAGCUUGGCUGAUUUACCAUUGAGGAAGAAAGAAAUUUCUUCUUGAGAUGUAGUGUGAUGCCUUUUUCAGAACCAGCCACUCUAGUGAUUUUUAAUAAAAAAAAUUAUUGUCUCAUGGCUGGGUUUCUGUCAUUCCUUCCAGAAGGUGGGAGGCUGUGAGUUUGGAAAAUUAGUGUCUGGUGACUGUGGGUGAGAAGGCCCUUUCCUACAUAACAGAAGAAAUAAACAC
rnacentral:lncRNA from 10 species